UGGAGAGCGUACACAGGUGCUGCAUGCGUGUCGUCAGCUCGUGUCGUGAGAUGUUGGGUUAAGUCCCGCAACGAGCGCAACCCUUGCCUUUAGUUGCCAGCAGUUCGGCUGGGCACUCUAAAGGGACUGCCGGUGUUAAACCGGAGGAAGGUGGGGAGUGACGUCAAGUCCUCAUGGCCUUUAUGACCAGGGCUACACACGUACUACAAUGGCCGAUACAAAGGGCAGCGACACUGCGAGGUGAAGCCAAUCCCGUAAAAUCGGUCUCAGUCCGGAUUGGAGUCUGCAACUCGACUCCAUGAAGUUGGAAUCGCUAGUAAUCGUGGAUCAGCAUGCCACGGUGAAUACGUUCCCGGGCCUU
rnacentral:rRNA from 1 species